AAUUCUCAACUCUUAUCGGUGAUGUAGACGACAUACGGACAACAAAGACCAGGUCCAUUCGAACAUGCAUCGCAGUGCUCCUAGUCAAACUAAGAACUAGUUUAGGGAAUGCGCUGCUCAGCACUUUGUUCAACAUGACGAUUGCGCAGAUUCGGCGUGCGUUGAAAUCGUCAAGAAAAUCUUUGAUGAAAUCGUUCGUGCCAAAGAAUAUGGGAUUUAAACAUGUUUCCAGAGAGGAGAUAAGAACGACCCAUACACGACCUCUAGCGCAAGAAUUGUUCGCUGCAUCUGACCAAAAUAAAUCAAUAAUUGUUUUAGAUGGAACAUAUAUAUAUAUAUACAAAAAAGUUCAAACUUUUCUUUCGCACGUCGGUCAUACUCCAUGCACAAGCACAGGCCACUUGUCAAACCAAUGAUUGUUGUGUCCACCACUGGCUACAUUAUAUCUAUUUUGGGACCGUACUUGGCGGAUGGCAAAAACUCAGAUGCAAAUAUACUGAAACACAUCAUCAAUCAAAAUACUGAGGAUUUUAAGAGCUGGAUUCAGGAAGGUGAUGUGGUCGUAGUUGACAGAGGUUUCCGAGAUGCGUCGACUGUUCUCGAAGAACUUGGUGUAACUAUGCAGAUGCCAUCUUUUAUGCGAAAGGGGUCUACACAGCACACAAGCGAAGAGUCUAACAAGUCGAGGCUUGUGACG